UACGUAGGGUGCGAGCGUUAAUCGGAAUUACUGGGCGUAAAGCGUGCGCAGGCGGUUCGCCAAGUCAGGUGUGAAAUCCCCGGGCUUAACCUGGGAAUUGCGCUUGAAACUAGCGGGCUUGAGUGUGGCAGAGGGGGGUGGGAAUUCACGUGUAGCAGUGAAAUGCGUAGAGAUGUGGAGGAACACCGAUGGCGAAGGCAGCCCCCUGGGUCAACACUGACGCUCAUGCACGAAAGCGUGGGGAGCAAACAGG
rnacentral:rRNA from 1 species